UCCUAACUCUUUCUUCGUGCUUAACACAUGCAAGUCGAACGGAAAGGCCCUGCUUUUGUGGGGUGCUCGAGUGGCGAACGGGUGAGUAACACGUGAGUAACCUGCCCUUGACUUUGGGAUAACUUCAGGAAACUGGGGCUAAUACCGGAUAGGAGCUCCUGCUGCAUGGUGGGGGUUGGAAAGUUUCGGCGGUUGGGGAUGGACUCGCGGCUUAUCAGCUUGUUGGUGGGGUAGUGGCUUACCAAGGCUUUGACGGGUAGCCGGCCUGAGAGGGUGACCGGCCACAUUGGGACUGAGAUACGGCCCAGACUCCUACGGGAGGCAGCAGUGGGGAAUAUUGCACAAUGGGCGGAAGCCUGAUGCAGCAACGCCGCGUGCGGGAUGACGGCCUUCGGGUUGUAAACCGCUUUCGCCUGUGACGAAGCGUGAGUGACGGUAAUGGGUAAAGAAGCACCGGCUAACUACGUG
rnacentral:rRNA from 1 species